rnacentral:rRNA from 1 species
AUUGAACGCUGGCGGCAGGCCUAACACAUGCAAGUCGAACGGUAACAGGCCGCAAGGUGCUGACGAGUGGCGAACGGGUGAGUAAUGCAUCGGAACGUGCCCAGUCGUGGGGGAUAACGCAGCGAAAGCUGCGCUAAUACCGCAUACGAUCUAUGGAUGAAAGCGGGGGACCGUAAGGCCUCGCGCGAUUGGAGCGGCCGAUGUCAGAUUAGGUAGUUGGUGGGGUAAAGGCUCACCAAGCCAACGAUCUGUAGCUGGUCUGAGAGGACGACCAGCCACACUGGGACUGAGACACGGCCCAGACUCCUACGGGAGGCAGCAGUGGGGAAUUUUGGACAAUGGGCGCAAGCCUGAUCCAGCAAUGCCGCGUGCAGGAAGAAGGCCUUCGGGUUGUAAACUGCUUUUGUACGGAACGAAACGGUCCUGGUUAAUACCUGGGGCUAAUGACGGUACCGUAAGAAUAAGCACCGGCUAACUACGUGCCAGCCGCCGCAGUAACAC